CAUUACAGAGUUCAUGCCCGAAAGGGUAGACCUCCCACCCUUGUGUAUUAUUACUUUGUUGCUUUGGCGAGCUGCCUUCGGGCCUUGUAUGCUCGCCAGAGAAUACCAAAACUCUUUUUAUUAAUGUCGUCUGAGUACUAUAUAAUAGUUAAAACUUUCAACAACGGAUCUCUUGGUUCUGGCAUCGAUGAAGAACGCAGCGAAAUGCGAUAAGUAAUGUGAAUUGCAGAAUUCAGUGAAUCAUCGAAUCUUUGAACGCACAUUGCGCCCCUUGGUAUUCCGGGGGGCAUGCCUGUUCGAGCGUCAUUUCAACCCUCAAGCUUAGCUUGGUAUUGAGUCUAUGUCAGUAAUGGCAGGCUCUAAAAUCAGUGGCGGCGCCGCUGGGUCCUGAACGUAGUAAUAUCUCUCGUUACAGGUUCUCGGUGUGCUUCUGCCAAAACCCAAAUUUUUCUAUGGUUGACCUCGGAUCAGGUAGGGAUACCCGCUGAACUUAAGCAUAUCAAU
rnacentral:rRNA from 1 species